rnacentral:rRNA from 1 species
AGUGAACGCUGGCGGCAGGCCUAAUACAUGCAAGUCGAACGGCAGCACAGCAGAGCUUGCUCUGUGGGUGGCGAGUGGCGGACGGGUGAGGAAUACAUGGGAAUCUGCCCAGUCGUGGGGGAUAACGUAGGGAAACUUACGCUAAUACCGCAUGCGCCCUUCGGGGGAAAGCCGGGGACCUUCGGGCCUGGCGCGAUUGGAUGAGCCCAUGUCGGAUUAGCUAGUUGGCGGGGUAAUGGCCCACCAAGGCGACGAUCCGUAGCUGGUCUGAGAGGAUGAUCAGCCACACUGGAACUGAGACACGGUCCAGACUCCUACGGGAGGCAGCAGUAGGGAAUAUUGGACAAAUGGGCGCAAGCCUGAUCCAGCCAUGCCGCGUGAGUGAAGAAAGGCCCUCGGGUUGUAAAGCUCUUUUGUUGGGGAAGAAAAGCAGUUGGUUAAUACCCGAUUGUUCUGACGGUACCCAAAGAAUAAGCACCGGCUAAACUUCGUGCCAGACG